rnacentral:rRNA from 1 species
UGGGGAAUCUUGCGCAAUGGGCGAAAGCCUGACGCAGCAACGCCGCGUGGGGGAUGAAGGCUCUCGGGUCGUAAACCCCUUUCAGUGGGAACGAAAUUGACGGUACCCACAGAAGAAGCACCGGCCAACUACGUGCCAGCAGCCGCGGUAACACGUAGGGUGCAAGCGUUACUCGGAAUUACUGGGCGUAAAGCGUGCGUAGGUGGUUUGUUAAGUCCGAUGUGAAAGCCCUGGGCUCAACCUGGGAAUGGCAUUGGAUACUGGCAGGCUAGAGUGCGGUAGAGGGGUGUGGAAUUCCCGGUGUAGCAGUGAAAUGCGUAGAUAUCGGGAGGAACAUCUGUGGCGAAAGCACUCUGCUGGGCCGACACUGACACUGAGAGACGAAAGCUAGGGGAGCGAAUAGGAUUAGAUACC